AGCUUGCUCUUAUGAAGUUAGCGGCGGACGGGUGAGUAACACGUGGGUAACCUGCCCAUAAGACUGGGAUAACUCCGGGAAACCGGGGCUAAUACCGGAUAACAUUUUGAACCGCAUGGUUCGAAAUUGAAAGGCGGCUUCGGCUGUCACUUAUGGAUGGACCCGCGUCGCAUUAGCUAGUUGGUGAGGUAACGGCUCACCAAGGCAACGAUGCGUAGCCAACCUGAGAGGGUGAUCGGCCACACUGGGACUGAGACACGGCCCAGACUCCUACGGGAGGCAGCAGUAGGGAAUCUUCCGCAAUGGACGAAAGUCUGACGGAGCAACGCCGCGUGAGUGAUGAAGGCUUUCGGGUCGUAAAACUCUGUUGUUAGGGAAGAACAAGUGCUAGUUGAAUAAGCUGGCACCUUGACGGUACCUAACCAGAAAGCCACGGCUAACUACGUGCCAGCAGCCGCGGUAAUACGUAGGUGGCAAGCGUUAUCCGGAAUUAUUGGGCGUAAAGCGCGCGCAGGUGGUUUCUUAAGUCUGAUG
rnacentral:rRNA from 1 species